AAGGCCAUAGCUUAAUCGGUAAAGCGAGCUGCUCAUAAUAGCUCAAAUGAGUGUUCGAUUCAUUCUGGCCUUA
rfam:Jatropha curcas cultivar GZQX0401 scaffold2122_4, whole genome shotgun sequence.